CGGGAUGUGGCGCAGUUGGCUAGCGUGCUUGACUGGGGGUCAAGAGGUCGCGAGUUCGAGUCUCGCCAUUCCGA
rnacentral:tRNA from 3 species